CAAAAACCUCUCAGCAUUUAAUUUAUGUUGGUACUGGGCGUGAGGUCCGAGCUUGUAGCUCGCCUCCGCUUUAAACUUGCUGCACGACCGUAAGCUAUCGCUAGGUUUUAUGAAGUUGGUGUUUACAUUUUUUCAUAAUCUGGCGUCGGGGAGCGGCGUUAAACCUGAUGUCCCUUUUUGCGGACUGAA
rnacentral:misc_RNA from 1 species